UGGCUGAGUGGUAAAGUGCUUGGCUGCCGAACUGAAUGUCCCAGGUUCGAAUCCUGG
rnacentral:tRNA from 1 species